rnacentral:tRNA from 1 species
ACCUGGCUGGCUCAGUAAGUAGAGCAUGGGACUGUUGAUCUCUCAGUGUUAUGAGUUCAAGCCCCAUGUCGGGCA